rnacentral:rRNA from 1 species
AGGCGCGAAAACUUUACAAUGCACGCAAGUGUGAUAAGGGAAUUCCAAGUGCUUUAUCUUCGGAUAAGGCUUUUGCCAAGUUUAAAUCGCUUGGCGAAUAAGUGGUGGGCAAGACCGGUGCCAGCCGCCGCGGUAACACCGGCGCCACUAGUGGGGAUCAUAUUUAUUGGGUCUAAAGCAUCCGUAGCCAGCUCAGCAACUCUUUUGUGAAAUCGUUGUGCUUAACAUAACGACGUGCAAAAGAAACUACUGAGAUUGGGACCGGGAGGGGUCAGAGGUAUUCUAGGGGGAGCGGUAAAAUGUGAUAAUCCCUAGAGGACCACCAAUGGCGUAGGCAUCUGACUAUAACGGGUCCGACGGUGAGGGAUGAAGGCUAGGGGAGCGAUCCGGAUUAGAUACCCGAGUAGUCCUAGCAGUAAACGUUGUGAGCUAGGUGUUGCAUAUUCUUAGAGAAUAUGCGGUGCCGAAGCGAAGGCAUUAAGCUCACCACCUGGGAAGUACAGUCGCAAGACCGAAACUUAAAGGAAUUGGCGGGGGCGCACCACAAGGGGUGUAGUGUGCGGUUCAAUUGGAUUCUACGCCGGGAACCUUACCAUGGGCGACGGCAGAAUGAAGGUCAGAUUAAAGGUUUUACCUGACAAGCCGAGAGAUAGUGCAUGGCCGCCGUCAGUUCGUACUGUGAAGCAUA